UUUGGGUACGCUAUUGCUGUUUGUCGCAUUUGCGAGCACCAUAUUUCCGCUGGGUGUGUCCCUCUGACUAUAUUGCCCUUGUUCUGCCUGCAACUGAGAAGAGAACUGCAUACUGCGUGUUUCGUGUGCGCAUAGCUGUUUUCCACGUCGCUCGACCUUUCCCGCUACAGUACCAUCUCUCUCACUCCAUUGCUCGGAAUUGAGCUUAAAAGUACGAGAACAUUUCGCUUCAUACAAGGAUAUUAACCACACUUUUUUUUAGCCUAUGAAAAUAAGCAACAAUAGGUGACUGAAUUGGGAGAGAAGAAGGAGAACCCAUGCUGCCAUACCCAACUGCUCGGGAGCUGGGUGUACAAAGACAGCCUGGAGGAGGGAGGAGAACCCAUACUGCCAUACCCAACAGCCUGGAGGAAGAAGGAGAACCCAUACUGCCAUACCCUACAGCCUGGAGGAGGGAGGAGAACCCAUACUGCCAUACCCAACUACUCGGGAGCUGGGUGUACAAAGACAGCCUGGAGGAGGGAGGAGAACCCAUGCUGCCAUACCCUACAGCCUGGAGGAGGGAGGAGAACCCAUACUGCCAUACCCUACAGCCUGGAGGAGGGAGGAGAACCCAUACUGCCAUACCCUACAGCCUGGAGGAGGGAGGAGAACCCAUACUGCCAUACCCUACAGCCUGGAGGAGGGAGGAGAACCCAUACUGCCAUACCCAACAGCCUGGAGGAGGGAGGAGAACCUGGUGACACAUGGUGUUCUUGAAUGAAACAAUUAUUUCUUCAUGACAGUAGUUUUUUUCUUUGAACAAUUUUCACUUGAUUUAAGGUUAGAUUCAUGUAGUUUCUUUGGAGUGUAAGAUCAAGCUGACAAACAACAAUUACAUUUGUAUGUAGCCUUUCCUGUUCAGUAACUAUUGUGGGCACUGUAGGAGUGUGAGUACACCAUCAAAAACUAACUAUUAGUGAAAUACUUUUAACAUAUUUCCCCAAUACCCUUUUCAUUAUGAUUAGCAAUGUUCUGCGUUUGUAUGGUGGAAAUAUUUUAAAUGGCUUCUUUAAACUAUGCCAUCCAACACAGAUGUACUUUUUAGUGUCUUCAAAUUGUUGAGGUCUUUGUUAUUAGAAUUGUGGUUUUGUAUACUGUGCUAACGUCAAUAACAGUAGCAAAUGAGGCAUUUAUGGUGAGUAAAUAGGAGCCUCAAUAUUUGUGCCAAUUCAUUGACACCAAAACCCUUUUAGAAGCAAAUGAUUUUGCCUCUAAAACAGUAGAACAUAUUAUCUGCACUAUAAUUGUCAAUGAUGUGUAGAUUUGAACACUGAGUGACUGGGUGCCUAUGUACGUCUGUAUGGUUGCAAGCAAGAGUCUGGUCAUGUGUUCUGCCGUCAGAUGGCUUGCAAAUUGAAACCGCUCUGACCCAGUCAUCUGGCAAAAACGAUUUGGCCUUGGCGCAGUGGAAGAAGACGUGUAUAUAGAAUACCAGUCAAAAGUGUGGACACCUUUAACAAUUCACUUGAAUGGGUAAGUGCGUUUGUACUUGUGGGCUGAUGGAAAAGCAGUCAACAAGUGCUCAGCAUAUGUGGAAACUCCUUCAAGUGUGCUGGAAAGGCAUUCCAGGUGACUACCUCAUGAUUUUGGUUGAAAGAAUGCCAAGAGGGUGCAAAGCUUUCCUCAAGGGUGGGCUAAUCUAUAAUAUGAAAGCUAUUGCUCAACAUCCUUUUGGUUCUUGCAUGAUUCCAUACUUUUUAGUUUUGAUGUCUUCACUAUUAUUCUACAACGUGUUGAAAAUAGUACAAAUAAAGACCUAUGUUCUAAUGAG